GCUGCUGUUAAUGCACUGAACUGCAGAUGGUGAUGUGGAUGAAAUAACGGUGUCCAGUUCAUCAGCUUUGGAUGGGGAAAUGGUUUGUAAUCGACUUGAGAGGAUGAGCUAAAUUGAUGCUGUGAUUUCAACGCAGAUCCAAACAACUGCAGAGGAGAUGGGUCUACUUUGGCGGCGGGACCUCACCCUGUCUGAGAGUUUGGGGAAUGGCCCCCCUGUUGGCUUCGCCCCGGGGCCCCCAGCCACCGUGGCCCCACAGCAGUCCAACGCCUCCUGGGUACCGGAAGCACCGCUGGUCACACCAGAGGAGACGUUCUUCCUCAUGACCUCCACUGCACAAACCAUAUCGGGUUUUUUCGUUUGGACAGCGCUUCUGAUCACAUGUC